rnacentral:snRNA from 1 species
AUAUCUUUCUUGACCUGUUGGCCAAGAUAAAAUGUAGUAUCUGUUUUUAUCAGUUUAAUAUCUGAUAUACGGGCUAUCGGCUCACACAAUAUUAACUCUAUCAUAUUUU